rnacentral:rRNA from 1 species
GGCUUAGAGUUUGAUCAUGGCUCAGGACGAACGCUGGCGGCGUGCUUAACACAUGCAAGUCGAACGGGGUGUUUAUUUCGGUAAACACCAAGUGGCGAACGGGUGAGUAACGCGUAAGCAAUCUACCUUCAAGAUGGGGACAACACUUCGAAAGGGGUGCUAAUACCGAAUGAAUGAGAGAUGACCGCAUGGAUAUUUCUCUAAAGGAGGCCUCUGAAAAUGCUUCCGCUUGAAGAUGAGCUUGCGUCUGAUUAGCUAGUUGGUGAGGGUAAAGGCCCACCAAGGCGACGAUCAGUAGCCGGUCUGAGAGGAUGAACGGCCACAUUGGGACUGAGACACGGCCCAGACUCCUACGGGAGGCAGCAGUGGGGAAUCUUCCGCAAUGGGCGAAAGCCUGACGGAGCAACGCCGCGUGAACGAAGAAGGUCUUAGGAUCGUAAAGUUCUGUUGUUAGGGGCGAAGGGCAACAUUUUGAAUAAGGGUGUUGUUUGACGGUACUUAACGAGGAAGCCACGGCUAACUACGUGCCAGCAGCCGCGGUAAUACGUAGGCGGCAAGCGUUGUCCGGAAUUAUUGGGCGUAAAGGAAGCGCAGGCGGGAAGUUAAGCGGACUUUAAAAGUGCGGGGCUCAACCCCGUGAGGGGGUCCGAACUGAUUUUCUUGAGUGCAGGAGAGGGAAGCG